AUGGGGUCACGCGUCCGGACGCCUGGGAUCCCUGUGCUCUGCUGGAAACACCCCGCAGGCUGCAGCAACUCGUGCAGCAGGCUUCAGAUUUGGAGGCAAGUCUCCGUGUUUCUUCUAUUUGUUACCACUUUGUGUUACAGAGCCUGGGAGCCCAAGGCGCAGUCUCGCCCCGACACGUGGGUGUGCGUAGCAGAAUCUGAGCAAGUCCCUCCAGCAGCAGGGAAAGGCAGAAUUAAGGUGCCUUGCCAACGAGGUGCUCCAAAGCCAUGCUCCUGCAUCCCAUGUGCACCUUUGGGCAGCUCUGCGUUUCCUCCAGUUAGGAGAUGCUUUGCACAUCCAUGCAUUAAGAAAGCAGAGAAUUGCAUUGCUGGAGUUAGAUUUCUUCCUCUCUCUUCUGUUGAAGAAGAAAUGAAUCCUCUGACAACAGACCAUAGAAGGGAAGAGAUGGAGGCAGAUCCCAAUGACCUGCUUGCCAUUCAACACCUUGCUCUGGCUCCUUGCCUUACAGAGGCACUCAGUGCUGGAUUCCUCCUUUCCUGGAUUCCCAGGGCAUAAUUACUCCAUUCCUUUGAUGACAAUAACCUGAACUUUGAAACAUGGGAAAAUGAAUCAGACAGGAGAUGGAUGAAGUCAUUUUCUAGAAGCUGCUCAGACUGUAUUCCCAUCCAAAACAACCGCUGUUGAUGGUCUUGGUGACCACAACCACCAUCUUACACUAAUUACUCUCAAUUUGCUCCUACAUCAUGGACAGAAAUGUCUAAGUGAGAAAAGGGCCACAUCCAAAGGGGCAGGAUCUGGGGAGUUAACUAUCACUCUACUUACUCCCCUGUGACAUCCCACUGGUCUGGGUGGUUGGAGUCACCUCCAUGGGUGGCAUUUUUCCAUAACUCGGGGAGCUGGGAUGUAGAUUUUUGACAGUGGAUGUUCUAGUUUCAAUAUCCACGAAUGAGAUGAGAUUUUUUCCUGUGUAUGAGGUCUUUGGAUUAAUUGUGCUGAGACAUUUGGGCUCCAGUCCUUCCUGGAAUAAUCAUGGAAUCAUUAAGGUUGGAAAAGACCCCUAAGAUCACCCAUCCAACCCCUGCUCACUCCCACCAUGCCCACUGACCACAUCCCUCAGUGCCAGAUCCCCAUGGUUCUGGAACACCUCCAGGGUUGGUGACCCCACCACUCCCUGGGCAGCCUGUGCCAAUGCACCAUCACUCUUUGGGAGAAGAAAUUUUUCCUUAUAUCCAGUCUGAACCUCCUCUGGAUUAUUAUUUCUUGUGGGACAACAGGCAAUAAGACUGUAUACACCAGAUUCUUUUUUUUAUAAUACAAUAGGAAUAAAGUCCUUCUCCGUGCUUAACCUCUCCA
rnacentral:lncRNA from 1 species